rnacentral:rRNA from 1 species
AACGCGAAGAACCUUACCUGGGCUCGAAAUGCAGAGGAAGAUACCAGAAAUGGUCUCGUCCGCAAGGACUUCUGUAUAGGUGCUGCAUGGCUGUCGUCAGCUCGUGCCGUGAGGUGUUUGGUUAAGUCCCGCAACGAGCGCAACCCCUGUGUCCUGUUGCCACCACACUUCGGUGUGAGCACUCUGGACAGACUGCCUCGCUUCAACGAGGAGGAAGGUGGGGAUGACGUCAAGUCAGUAUGGCCCUUACGGCCAGGGCUGCACACGUACUACAAUGCCCGGCACAAAGGGAAGCAAGAGCGUAAGCUGGAGCAAAUCCCCUAAAACCGGGCCCAGUUCAGAUUGUCGUCUGCAACUCGACGGCAUGAAGCUGGAAUCGCUAGUAAUGGCGCAUCAGCUACGGCGCCGUGAAUACGUUCCCGGGCCUUGUACACACCGACUGUAC